AUUGAACGCUGGCGGCAGGCCUAACCCAUGCAAGUCGAACGAGUGGCGGACGGGUGAGUAAUGUCUGGGAAACUGCCUGAUGGAGGGGGAUAACUACUGGAACCGGUAGCUAAUACUGCAUACCAUCAGAUGUGCCCAGAUGGGAUUAGCUAGUUGGUGGGGUAACGGCUCACCAAGGCGACGAUCCCUAGCUGGUCUGAGAGGAUGACCAGCCACGCUGGAACGGAGACACGGUCCAGACGCCUAGGAGAGGCAGCGGGGGAGAAUAUUGCACAAUGGGCGCAAGCCUGAUGCAGCCAUGCCGCGUGUAUGAAGAAGGCCUUCGGGUUGUAAAGUACUUUCAGCGGGGAGGCGUUACCCGCAGAAGAAGCACCGGCUAACUCCGUGCCAGCCGCCGCGGUAAUUC
rnacentral:rRNA from 1 species